rnacentral:rRNA from 1 species
CCUACGGGUGGCAGCAGUGGGGAAUAUUGGACAAUGGGGGGAACCCUGAUCCAGCGACGCCGCGUGAGUGAAGAAGUAUUUCGGUAUGUAAAGCUCUAUCAGCAGGGAAGAAAAGGACGGUACCUGACUAAGAAGCCCCGGCUAACGACGUGCCAGCAGCCGCGGUAAUACGUAGGGGGCAAGCGUUAUCCGGAUUGACUGGGUGUAAAGGGAGCGUAGACGGUGCAGCAAGUCUGAUGUGAAAGGUCGGGGCCCAACCCCGGGACUGCCUUGGAAACUGUUGAACGGGAGUACAGGAGAGGUAAGCUGAAUUCCUCUUGUAGCGGUGACAUGCGUAGAUAUUAGGAGGAACACCAGUGGCGACGGCGGCUUACUGGACUGUACCUGACGUUGAGGCUCGAAAGCCUGGGGAGCAAACAGGAUUAGCUACCCGGGUAGUC